rnacentral:tRNA from 1 species
CAUGGCUUAGUAUAAGUUAAGUAUGUCAGCUUUGGGAGUUGACGGUUCUAAAAUGGAAGCCCUGA